GAUGACUGGAGUUAGCGCACUGACUUCCUUGAAAAGGAAAAUGGCUUCCCUUCCUCUUCCGGUUGCAGGUCUGUACUCAUCUUCCGCCUCCUCCACCUCUCCUAUUCCUUGCCACUCAAAUCCCAGUUUAGGUAGGUGGGUUUUCCCUGUGGAGACCUUGCCGAUUCCGUAAAUAAGGAGUGUGAGUCUUUCCUGGCAUGACAGAGAGAUUGAAGAGAAGUAUAGCAUUGGAGGAUUGGAAAGCUUCCCAGACUCACUAGGCUGGAUAUGAAUUCUCACCUCCCUCAAACUUCUGUGUGCGGGGAGUGCCUUUCCCAAUUAUAGCUGCAUUCUGACAGUAACUAACCACUAUCCUGAGUGACAGGCAAAGAAAGCCAAGAGCCUUGAGGCUAAGAGAGUACUGGCAUUUCACAGAAGAAUAUGUCCAAACAACAAAUCGACAUAUGAAAAAGUUCAGAAAGGAAAUGCUUAUCAAUAGUAGAGUUACUACCUUCCAAGCACUGACAACGAGCAGUCUCUACAAAAAGGACAUCAAGUUGUCAGCAUAGCUCCCAAAGCCGCUCCAAACGAAGGAUGGUCACAACCGUGGAAGGUUAACAUCUGUCUUUGCUUUUGGCUACUCUAUCAUAAAUUGCAAUAAAGAGGAAAAUGUCAUGAUAAGUCACCAGUAACUGAAUAAAAUAAUAAAAAUUAAAAGACAAGACCAUAAUAAGAUUUCAAGGUUUGCUGAGGCAACAACAUCUACAAACAAUUUUUCUCUGCUCCAGAGGCUACCCUCAACAAUUUCACUAGACUCCUACAACUGAAAUCAUGUUUCUUAAUUCAUCCUUUAUAAAGAUUUAAAUCACCUCUGCC